rnacentral:rRNA from 1 species
CCUACGGGAGGCAGCAGUGAGGAAUAUUGGUCAAUGGACGAGAGUCUGAACCAGCCAAGUAGCGUGAAGGAUGACUGCCCUAUGGGUUGUAAACUUCUUUUAUCUGGGAAUAAAAUGUUCCACGUGUGGGAUUUUGUAUGUACCAUAUGAAUAAGGAUCGGCUAACUCCGUGCCAGCAGCCGCGGUAAUACGGAGGAUCCGAGCGUUAUCCGGAUUUAUUGGGUUUAAAGGGAGCGUAGGUGGAUUGUUAAGUCAGUUGUGAAAGUUUGCGGCUCAACCGUAAAAUUGCAGUGGAAACUGGCAGUCUUGAGUACAGUAGAGGUGGGCGGAAUUCGUGGUGUAGCGGUGAAAUGCUUAGAUAUCACGAAGAACUCCGAUUGCGAAGGCAGUUCACUGGACUGCAACUGACACUGAGGCUCGAAAGUGUGGGUAUCAAACAGGAUUAGAUACCCCUGUAGUC